UUAAAAUAAUUUAAACUUUCAUCAAAAGUAAUUUUCCUAAUGAGUGCUGAUACUUUAGGCCUGACUAA